AUUGAACGCUGGCGGCGUGCCUAACACAUGCAAGUCGAGCGGUAACAGGUGUAGCAAUACAUGCUGACGAGCGGCGGACGGGUGAGUAACGCUUGGGAAUCUGCCUGUUAGUGGGGGACAACCCGGGGAAACUCGGGCUAAUACCGCAUACGCACUACGGUGGAAAGCCGGGGACCGCAAGGCCUGGCGCUAACAGAUGAGCCCAAGUCGGAUUAGCUAGUUGGUAGGGUAACGGCCACCAAGGCGACGAUCCGUAACUGGUCUGAGAGGACGACCAGUCACACCGGAACUGAGACACGGUCCGGACUCCUACGGGAGGCAGCAGUGGGGAAUAGUUGGACAAUGGGCGAAAGCCUGAUCCAGCGACGCCGCGUGGGUGAAGAAGGCCUGCGGGUUGUAAAGCCC
rnacentral:rRNA from 1 species